GUGGAUUAGAUACCCUGGUAGUCCACGCCCUAAACGAUGGGCACUAGGUGUGGGAGGUAUCGACCCCUUCCGUGCCGCAGCUAACGCAUUAAGUGCCCCGCCUGGGGAGUACGGCCGCAAGGUUGAAACUCAAAGGAAUUGACGGGGGCCCGCACAAGCGGUGGUGCAUGUGGUUUAAUUCGACGCAACGCGAAGAACCUUACCUGGGCUUGACAUCCCUGGAACCUCCUGGAAACAGGGGGGUGCCCGCAAGGGAGCCAGGAGACAGGUGCUGCACGGCUGUCGACAGCU
rnacentral:rRNA from 1 species